GAUCCUGGCUCAGGAUGAACGCUAGCUACAGGCUUAACACAUGCAAGUCGAGGGGCAGCAUGGUCUUAGCUUGCUAAGGCCGAUGGCGACCGGCGCACGGGUGAGUAACACGUAUCCAACCUGCCGUCUACUCUUGGACAGCCUUCUGAAAGGAAGAUUAAUACAAGAUGGCAUCAUGAGUCCGCAAUGUUCACAUGAUUAAAGGGUAUUCCGGUAGACCGAUUGGGGGA
rnacentral:rRNA from 1 species